rnacentral:rRNA from 1 species
AUUAGCUUGUUGGUGGGGUAACGGCUCACCAAGGCGACGAUCCCUAGCUGGUCUGAGAGGAUGACCAGCCACACUGGAACUGAGACACGGUCCAGACUCCUACGGGAGGCAGCAGUAGGGAAUCUUCCGCAAUGGGCGAAAGCCUGACGGAGCAACGCCGCGUGAGUGAUGAAGGUCUUAGGAUCGUAAAACUCUGUUGUUAGGGAAGAACAAAUUUGUUAGUAACUGAACAAGUCUUGACGGUACCUAACCAGAAAGCCACGGCUAACUACGUGCCAGCAGCCGCGGUAAUACGUAGGUGGCAAGCGUUAUCCGGAAUUAUUGGGCGUAAAGCGCGCGUAGGCGGUUUCUUAAGUCUGAUGUGAAAGCCCACGGCUCAACCGUGGAGGGUCAUUGGAAACUGGGGAACUUGAGUGCAGAAGAGGAGAGUGGAAUUCCAUGUGUAGCGGUGAAAUGCGCAGAGAUAUGGAGGAACACCAGUGGCGAAGGCGGCUCUCUGGUCUGUAACUGACGCUGAUGUGCGAAAGCGUGGGGAUCAAACAGGAUUAGAUACCCUGGUAGUCCACGCCGUAAACGAUGAGUGCUAAGUGUUAGGGGGUUUCCGCCCCUUAGUGCUGCAGCUAACGCAUUAAGCACUCCGCCUGGGGAGUACGACCGCAAGGUUGAAACUCAAAGGAAUUGACGGGGACCCGCACAAGCGGUGGAGCAUGUGGUUUAAUUCGAAGCAACGCGAAGAACCUUACCAAAUCUUGACAUCCUUUGAUCGCUCUAGAGAUAGAGUUUUCCCCUUCGGGGGACAAAGUGACAGGUGGUGCAUGGUUGUCGUCAGCUCGUGUCGUGAGAUGUUGGGUUAAGUCCCGCAACGAGCGCAACCCUUAAGCUUAGUUGCCAUCAUUAAGUUGGGCACUCUAGGUUGACUGCCGGUGACAAACCGGAGGAAGGUGGGGAUGACGUCAAAUCAUCAUGCCCCUUAUGAUUUGGGCUACACACGUGCUACAAUGGAUAAUACAAAGGGCAGCGAACCCGCGAGGUCAAGCAAAUCCCAUAAAAUUAUUCUCAGUUCGGAUUGUAGUCUGCAACUCGACUACAUGAAGCUGGAAUCGCUAGUAAUCGUAGAUCAGCAUGCUACGGUGAAUACGUUCCCGGGUCUUGUACACACCGCCCGUCACACCACGAGAGUUUGUAACACCCGAAGCCGGUGGAGUAACCUUUUAUUAGGAGCUAGCCGUCGAAGGUGGGACAGAUGAUUGGGGUGAAGUC